UCUGUUUAUUAAUAUAAAAAAAAGAAUACUUUGAAUCUAACUCUGUCCAAGACAUAUUAGCCAAAUGGGAAGUGUGACUGGGUUUAUAAGUGGAAUAAAAAGGUUAAACGUUUCACCUCUAAUCAAUAAAUAUAAAAACUAACAGAUGAAAAAGCACUAUGGUCUGUCCAAAGGCCCCACUUUGACUCAGAAUAACUGAUUUUUCUUUCUUGAAUUCCUGUACCAUAUUGUAAUAAACCAUUAAAUAAAUAAAAAACCUUGAAUCGUGUCAGAUGUUUACUGAUCAUGGGUUGAGACAAAACUAAAGGUGAAAAUGUAUUUAUCACUCACAGGUCGUCUAUGUACGUAUGUUAUAUGUUAUAUGUGUUUCUCUGUGGCUGUUUGUAAACAUGCGUCAAAAGCAUGUGAUUCUGUCGACGCACUUGGGAGCAACGUCCAAUCAGCAAACGGGGGUGUGUGCGAGUGGGCGUGGUCGACCUGUGUUGCUGAGAAAAUGUCGUUGGACGAGGCUUCUCAUAAAGGGGGCAAGUGUGGAUUCGAUAAUAGGCAGUAGGAUGAUGGUUACAGAGGCAGCAGCGGCGGAGCGGUCACAGUGAAGAGACCGGAUGUGUUGUUGCGCAAGAGGCGGAACCGGGCUGACCUGAGAACUGAGAGUCCCAUUUGUUGUGUCUGACGAGUAACGAAACCUAAACCCCAAACUGACUCCAACUGAUAUUCUGACCAUUCUUUAAAAUAAAAAGCAGAAGAGAACAGCAAGUUCCCCGUCAGUUCUGUGACCUCUGGGAACAAAUCGUAUCGCAAAGAAAACUAAAAAAUGAAGAAAAGAAAAAAGACGCAGGCCAUGCAGUGACCGUCGGACGCCAGUUUUCAUCACAGAGGAUUCAAGAGAGAGAGAGAGAGAGAGAUUAACUGCAAAUCAGUGCACAUUAAACUAGAUCAACCAUCUGAUGAAGGGGAUAGAAGAAGAAGAAGAAGAAAGAUGAAAGAUGAAAGCACUGUCACGUCCAACAUCCUACCAGGCGACAGAGACAAUUGGACUGGUGGAAUACAGUGCAGUGGUACAGCUGCAGGCAUUUGUGGAAGCAACCGUCUGAGCCGAAAAAAUGGAUCCGCAUUUCAAAUGUUUGUCCCAAACCAAGUAUAAAUGGUUUACAGACGAGAAUGUCCUUUUGAUGCCUGUUGUCUUAUCAUUCAUCUUCCACAACUUUGCCUUUUUCAAGGUCCCGGGGGGGAACCUGUAGCCAAGCCUAAAACGCUGGACAGCCUGCCCGUCUGUCAAAGUGCCACAUAUUGAACCAACCAUUCACACAUUACACAGAGUAAACAUUUAACCUAAUUCUCAACCUACAUGUUUUUGACUGUAAAAGGAAACCACAGAGAAACUCUGAACAGAAAAACCAGGAAUUUAACCAGCAUACUGCUUAACCUUUCACUGUAAGGCAAGAGCAAAAACCACUUCUCCCCCCAUGUAGCUCAAACAUGGAGUUCACAUCAAUAAUCUUAAAUGAUUAGUGAGGAACUGUAAGAGUAGCACUUGACCUGCAUGUUUAUUGCUUUUUCUCUAGAAGAGAAUCAGUGUUUUCUCACGUGUUCACUUGUCAUUUUAAUUUUUAACUAAGGAUUACUUUAUUGUCUACUGACGAUGGUAGUGCCACGGGUGAAGUGUUUGUCAGAAUGGCCCCCCUUGGAAGCUGGUUUCAGAUGGUGGCUUAGAGUACUGUCAUCCAUCUAGCACCAUUUGAAAUCAGUGUUCUUGGGGAGGGAAGUCUUUCACUGUGCCAAGCUGGGCUACUUUGGAGCGUCAGUGAUGGUGACUGUGGUGAGAGCUGUCCCUACUUCUGGAGUGCCCCAGAGGCGCCACCCAGUGGCCGACACAACAACGACAACGACCUACAGUGAUGCUCUUGUCCUAUAUCCAAGGUUGACUGAUUUCUUUUGGUGUUCAGAGUCUGCUUUUGUUUCUAGCACCAUUUGAAAUCGGUUACAGUGAAGGACAGAUCUCGACUUAUCUCUAGGUGGAUUUUGCAGCUGAGCAGUUCAAUUCACGUGACUGCCUUCAAUUCAACUUAGUCGCAGUGGUUUGAAGCUUAAAAUAGUGAAAAUGUAUACAGUGCAUUGAUGUUACGAUGACAAAGACUAUUCUAUGUUGUGUUUUAUUAAAGGUUUAAGUGAAUUGAUUUUGACGUUUUAUUCAUUACCAUACACUCAGAUUAGACAAAAAAGGUUAUUUAAAAAAAACAACUUUAUGUUCAAUAUGUUACAUAUUUUCAUGCACUAUCUCAGCCAUAGCCUUGAAUCUCACAUAAGACAAUCCAACAUAACUGAUCAGGAUCAAGUUCAAUUAUUACUGCUGUCUUUUAUUUUACCAAAACUGCCUUCAAAGGUGUGCCAAGUUAAACAUUGACUCAGGUCGGUCAUGAUGAAGCCAUCUGUGUGUAAUUUACUGACAUCUAAUUUUUCCUAUUUACAUCUGAAUGAAGAUUAGUGCUGGUAUUUAUUUACGCAAAGUGUGCGUGCAAUUUGUGCAAAGGGAUCUUCCAAAGAAAACCAAAAACCUUGAUGUUGGACAGCACCCAUUGGCUCACCUGGGAACUCAAAGUUACGUUAUUAACAAAGAGCAAUGUAUAACAAUUGAAAAAGAACAGGCUAUAAAUAAAUAAGAAACAUAAUAUGAAAAUGAAGAACUCAAUAAUAAAAAAUGGAGGCUAUCCCAGGGAAUUAGCAAGUACCACUGAGUAGCUACUUGUUUGAAGAGAGUAAUGAGGGAUGUGUUCUGAGCUGAUGGUACUGCUUGACAUCUUCAAGUUGUACAAACACAAGCAUUAGGGGUCUCAUGGAUUUCACCACCAUGUCUAACGUCCUCAAUAUUUCCUCCAUUGUGGUUGUUCAAAAAAGUCUGACAUCUUGAAUCUACGGUUUGAUUUCACCAUAUGUGAAAUACCCAGUUUACACUCAGAGAAGUUUGGUUUGUUUGGGCAAAACCUCUAAAGUUUGUGGCAGUGUAACCAGAAGAAAUGAUGCUGAUGUUGUUUGGGAUUUAUCACAAGAAAAAGGUUUUAUUUUAGAUUGUUUUUUAUUUUGCCAAUCACAAAUGUGGCCAUAACAGAAGCUUAAAGAAAAAGAAAUAACACAAUUCUAACUGCUGACUUUGUCAUUAGAGUGGCGCAGUCAUGCCACAGGUUUUUUUUUUUUAUAAACUACGAUCUGAUGAACCAGAUAUUAAUAAAUACAUAGAAAAAGCAGAGCA